rnacentral:rRNA from 1 species
UCGAGAAUCUUUAGCAAUGGACGAAAGUCUGACUAUGCGACGCCGCGUGAGGGAUGAAGGUUUUCGGAUCGUAAACCUCUUUCGAUGGGAAAGAAACCCCGCUUGCGGGGUUGACGGUACCCAGAGAAGAAGCCACGGCCAACUCCGUGCCAGCAGCCGCGGUAAUACGGAGGUGGCGAGCGUUACUCGGAAUUAUUGGGUGUAAAGGGCAGGUAGGUGGCUGUGUAAGUUGGGGGUGAAAUCCUUUGACUCAAUCAAAGAACUGCCUUCAAAACUGCAUAGCUUGAGGCUGGAAGAGGAGAGCGGAAUUCCCGGUGUAAGGGUGAAAUCUGUAGAUAUCGGGAGGAACACCAGUGGCGAAAGCGGCUCUCUGGUCCAGAUCUGACACUAAGCUGCGAAAGCUAGGGGAGCAAACAGG